CGAGUCCCCGCCCCCAUCCCGUCCUGUCCGCCUGGCCAGCUAGAGAAGACGCCCUUGUGGGGCUGGAGCCCAAGGCCCCCACCCAGCCUUUCCCACAGCAGCACCUCCCCCGCCUGCACAGCGCUCGCUUUGUUCAUCUGUACAGCUGGGCUCUCCUCCACCACCGCGGCCACCACCGCACACACCCUCUCCCCCUGCCCUCCCCUUCCGACCCUCCGAGACCACCCUCCACUCUGGGCCUCGAGGCUCUUCUUCAUGACCCACUCCUACCCAAGAUGUUUGAAUCUUCCACUGACUCCCAAUGAGCCCUACCAUAGUCCUACCCCAGAUUCUCAACGUCUCUUUCAGAACAUCUACUGAGGGCACCCAGGUCUUUCCUUUGUCAUCCCCUCUCCUUUCCUAUUCCAAGCCCCAUCAUACAGAGCUGUAGGUAGAAUUAAUAAUUGCACGCCAGGCUUCAGAAUUUAACAAGAAGGCAUGUUAAAGUGUGGUUCAAACGACACGACCUCGGAAAGCUGAAUGGAGUCGUCCCCAUAGCCUCACCUCCAUCACAGACCUGUUGGGUUACAGACAGCUGGAGGCAGGGCAGAAAGACACCAAGUUGGCUGGGGAGCGAGAGUGAGGAAGAAAGGAGGCGAGCAGUCUAUAAACCAAUGGUGAAGCCAUUCGCCAAUUCAACCCCCACCCCGAAAUCCAAGCUGACAGUGGAGCCCUACCUUGCAAAGCCUGCUCUCGCCCCAGGAGACCGCUGGGAGGCCCCGUGGGAGCUCAGCUCAGCUAGACUGGGCCUCUUUAACCUGCAGGAAAGGACUGGCAGACACUCUUCCUCAGUGAAGGAAGGAGCAGGAAGCCCCCGAGUCUGGCCUAAAUUCCAGAUGGGAUAGGUUGGAGAAAAAUUCAAAAAGAAAGUCCUCUGCAAAAUGGACAAGCUCUGUUCUGACCCAGUGGCUUUUAUUUUGUGCCCUCUCUCCCUUACCCAGGGCGGGCAGGAGGCUAAACUGUAGGAGUCUGGUCAUUCAUUGACAGGACUAGCAUUAGUGUGGGGGGGGCGGGGGGAGAGGGCACAGCUGGCUAUUGAAGGAGAGACAGCCAAGCAGUGGACAAGAGGGAGGAGAGAAUCCCACCUGCCACCUACUUCAGCUAACAGAGCUGAGCUGCAGAGAAGACUCCGGAGACCAGACAAGCGGACUGGAAGAGCUUUUAGACCAACUGAAUCACUUGGAAAGGACACUCUCCAACCUGUUGACUGGCCUUCAGGCUGUGCUGUGUGCCCCAGGUUUCCAGCUUUUGUGAGCUGUCACUGUGCUGGGGUGGUGGCCUUCUGAUGCAGCUGUCUUCAAGUCAUUCCUGCUCCUGUAAGUGACCCCAAUAAAACUCUUCAGUUCACCAAG